UUAUUACUCCCUCCGUUCCAUAAUUCUUGUCGAAAUCUUACAUGUAUUUAGACACUUUUUAAGAAUAGAUAUAUCCAUUUUUAGGCAAAUUUGAGACAAGAAUUAUAGAACUGGGGGAGUAAUAU
rnacentral:pre_miRNA from 1 species